CACCAGACUCCUACGGGAGGCAGCAGUGGGGGAUAUUGCACAAUGGGGGGAACCCUGAUGCAGCGACGCCGCGUGGGUGAAGGAGCGUUUCGGCGCGUAAAGCCCUAUCGGCAGGGAAGAAGGAGGACGGUACCCAAAGAGGAAGCUCCGGCUAACUACGUGCCAGCAGCCGCGGGAAUACGUAGGGAGCAAGCGUUUUCCGGAAUUACUGGGUGUAAAGGGAGCGUAGGCGGGAUGGCAAGUAGAAUGUUAAAUCCAUCGGCUCAACCGGUGGCUGCGUUCUAAACUGCCGUUCUUGAGUGAAGUAGAGGCAGGCGGAAUUCCUAGUGUAGCGGUGAAAUGCGUAGAUAUUAGGAGGAACACCAGUGGCGAAGGCGGCCUGCUGGGCUUUAACUGACGCUGAGGCUCGAAAGCGUGGGGAGCAAACAGGAUUAGAUACCCCUGUAA
rnacentral:rRNA from 1 species